AAUGGGCGCAAGCCUGAUCCAGCCAUGCCGCGUGAGUGAUGAAGGCCCUAGGGUCGUAAAGCUCUUUCGCCUGUGAAGAUAAUGACGGUAGCAGGUAAAGAAACCCCGGCUAACUCCGUGCCAGCAGCCGCGGUAAUACGGAGGGGGUUAGCGUUGUUCGGAAUUACUGGGCGUAAAGCGCGCGUAGGCGGAUUAGUCAGUCAGAGGUGAAAUCCCAGGGCUCUACCCUGGAACUGCCUUUGAUACUGCUAGUCUUGAGUUCGAGAGAGGUAAGUGGAAUUCCGAGUGUAGAGGUGAAAUUCGUAGAUAUUCGGAGGAACACCAGUGGCGAAGGCGGCUUACUGGCUCGAUACUGACGCUGAGGUGCGAAAGUGUGGGGAGCAAACAGGAUU
rnacentral:rRNA from 1 species